rnacentral:rRNA from 1 species
GAUGAACGCUGGCGGCGUGCUUAACACAUGCAAGUCGAACGAAGAUGCCGGAGUGCUUGCACUUUGGCAGACUGAGUGGCGGACGGGUGAGUAACGCGUGGGUAACCUGCCUUAUACAGGGGGAUAACAGUUGGAAACGACUGCUAAUACCGCAUAAGCGCACGGUAUCGCAUGAUACAGUGUGAAAAACUCCGGUGGUAUAAGAUGGACCCGCGUCUGAUUAGCUUGUUGGUGAGGUAACGGCCCACCAAGGCGACGAUCAGUAGCCGGCCUGAGAGGGUGAACGGCCACAUUGGGACUGAGACACGGCCCAAAACUCCUACGGGAGGCAGCAGUGGGGAAUAUUGCACAAUGGAGGAAACUCUGAUGCAGCGACGCCGCGUGAGUGAAGAAGUAAUCGUUAUGUAAAGCUCUAUCAGCAGGGAAGACAGUGACGGUACCUGACUAAGAAGCUCCGGCUAAAUACGUGCCAGCAGCCG